rnacentral:lncRNA from 1 species
AAAUUACAAAAGUAUUAAUUUGGGGAACUAAUAAAUGUCCAUAAAAUCUUCACAAUCCACGUUCUUCUGUCAUGGCUUCAGCCGGUUCCUCCAUUUGGGAUCCCUGACUUCCUGUUCAUCUGUUGGUGGAUGUUUACAUUGUUUCCAGGUUUGGGGAAGCCUUUCUCUUCAACCAGCUGGGCUGGCGGUCCUUCAGAAAACACCCAGCACUCCUUGCUGCCAAGGCUUCUUGCUCUGACCACUUCUGACUUCCUAAUGUCCUUUUUCUGUUCCAGGAUUCCAUCCAGCACACAUCACAUUUGUUUGUUAAUAUCUCCAUAGAAUCCUUUGGCUAUGACAGUUUCUCAGACUUUACUCAUUUGUGAUGAUCUUGACAAUUUCAAGGAGUCAGGCGUUUUGUAGAGCAUUCUUCAAUUUGAGUGUAUCUGAUAUCUUUCUCAAGAUUAGCCUCUCCUAUCCAUCUGUCUUUCCACCAGGCAUUUAGAGAUCAGGCAAAUAGAAAGACUGUGUCUGGGGUAAAAAAAUGACUGCAGAGGGAAAGCUGAACCUGGCUGGACAUAGUUGCUCUGCCCAGAACAUUGUUUUUUCUCUUUUAUGGGCCUUUACUCUGAUUGACUACCAUUUAACAAAAAUGGUAGUGAGAGCAGCGUCACCGGAUAAUUACAAUCUCCUUAAGUGUCAAAAGACCUUGGUCUUCCUUCAUAUGGAAACUCUCUACCCUCUCAUUUAAAGCAAUCGAGGCUGGGUGCAGUGGCUAACGCCUGUAAUCCCGGCACUUUGGAAGGCUGAGGUGGGCCGAUCACUUGAGUCCACAGUUUGAGACCAGCUUGGGCAACAUGGCAAAAUCCUGUCUCUACACAAAAUACAAAAAUUAGCCUGGCUUGGUGGCACGCAUCUGUGGUCCCAGGCACUUGGGAGGCUGAGGCAGGGGGAUGGCUUGAGCCUGGGAGGUCGAGGCCUCAGUGAGCCGUGAUUGUGUCACCGCACUCUAGCCUGAGUCAAACAGUGAGACCCUGUCUAAAAAAAAAAAAAAAAAAAAAAAAAAAGCAAUUGAAUAACUUUCAUGCGCGUCCGUGUGAAGAGACCACCAAACAGGCUUUGUGUGAGCAACAUGGCUGUUUAUUUCACCUGGGUGCAGGUGGGCUGAGUCCGAAAAGAGAGUCAGCGAAGGGAGAUAGGGGUGGGGCCAUUUUAUAGGAUUUGGGAAGGUAAUGGAAAAUUACAGUCAAAGGGGGUUGUUCUCUGGUGGGCAGGGGUGGAUCUCACAAAGUA